ACUUACAGAUUUGCAGAUACUAUAUAUCGUAAUUAGCCACUGACAUUCUUACACAUGACGGUCAUAUGACAAAUAAAAAUUCAGAUCUAAUACACCGAUUACUUUGUAUAUAUCAGAUCGAUCUAGAAUAUAAGUAUUAUUUUGCUUUUAUAAUGUUACGCUUACUAAAGAAUUGCCGGAAGUAACGGAUGAGUAGCUAAUUACAUUAGCGCAAAAGUUUUAUCGAUCUUUAUCAUUUGUCAAAUACUGCAAACAAUAAAAAAUCAGAAAAUCUUAAACGGUUGUGAACAUAAAAUAAUUUUUUUUGGAUAUAUGAAUAUUUCAUUUUAUUUUACACCUCUCAUCAUUUGGCUAUAAUAAUUGAUAGAUGAGAAGUGUUAUCAGACGUUUAC
rnacentral:lncRNA from 1 species